ACGCACGCUGGCGGCGUGCUUAACACAUGCAAGUCGAACGGAAAGGCCCCCUUGUGGGGUACUCGAGUGGCGAACGGGUGAGUAACACGUGAGUAACCUACCCUUGACUUUGGGAUAACUUCAGGAAACUGGGGCUAAUACCGGAUAGGAGCUCCUGCUGCAUGGUGGGGGUUGGAAAGUUUCGGCGGUUGGGGAUGGGCUCGCGGCUUAUCAGCUUGUUGGUGGGGUAGUGGCUCACCAAGGCUUUGACGGGUAGCCGGCCUGAGAGGGUGACCGGCCACAUUGGGACUGAGAUACGGCCCAGACUCCUACGGGAGGCAGCAGUGGGGAAUAUUGCACAAUGGGCGGAAGCCUGAUGCAGCAACGCCGCGUGCGGGAUGACGGCCUUCGGGUUGUAAACCGCUUUCGCCUGUGACGAAGCGUGAGUGACGGUAAUGGGUAAAGAAGCACCGGCUAACUACGUG
rnacentral:rRNA from 1 species